rnacentral:rRNA from 1 species
AACACAUGCAAGUCGAGGGGCAGCGGGAAGUCAGCUUGCUGACUUUGCCGGCGACCGGCGCACGGGUGAGUAACACGUAUCCAACCUCCCGCAUACUCGGGAAUAGCCUUUCGAAAGAAAGAUUAAUGCCCGAUGGUUUCAAGGGAUUGCAUGGUAUCUUGAAUAAAGAUUCAUCGGUAUGCGAUGGGGAUGCGUUCCAUUAGGCAGUUGGCGGGGUAACGGCCCACCAAACCGACGAUGGAUAGGGGUUCUGAGAGGAAGGUCCCCCACAUUGGAACUGAGACACGGUCCAAACUCCUACGGGAGGCAGCAGUGAGGAAUAUUGGUCAAUGGGCGAGAGCCUGAACCAGCCAAGUAGCGUGAAGGAUGACUGCCCUACGGGUUGUAAACUUCUUUUAUAAGGGAAUAAAGUUCUCUACGUGUAGAGUUUUGUAUGUACCUUAUGAAUAAGCAUCGGCUAACUCCGUGCCAGCAGCCGCGGUAAUACGGAGGAUGCGAGCGUUAUCCGGAUUUAUUGGGUUUAAAGGGAGCGUAGACGGCCGUUUAAGUCAGCUGUGAAAUGGUGCGGCUCAACCGUAGCACUGCAGUUGAAACUGGUCGGCUUGAGUGCAGUUGAGGCAGGCGGAAUUCGUGGUGUAGCGGUGAAAUGCUUAGAUUU